AUAUCGGAAUGUCUGAAUCCGAAGCUCCCACCGAUAGAAUGAGAAGUGAAAUCGAAGUUUCCCGGGCUUCUGUGACGGAGGUUUUCUUAGUCGACCUAAUCAAUCGAUUCCCCUCGGCAUAGUUGAAAUUCAAGUCUUAGUUCUUCCCACUUGGAUGAGCGGUGAAUACCUUUCUAAAGUAAAGAUUUGGCUCGGAUGGAUCCGGAUAGGAUAUUUUCACGCCUUGGCGUCUGGUUAAGACUUCCCCCCCGUCCUUCUCCUUAGGCUGGUUGAACCUUGAGAUAGAAGAGCAAUAUGGAGGGUUUCUCCUGAAAAAAAGUUGAAACCAUUCGUUUCAUAUAUACUUUCU
rnacentral:lncRNA from 1 species